AGGUGGGGUGAAUGAUGUUGUGCCAGGCUUUUUUUGCUAUACUCAACUUGAGUGGGUUGAGUCACUGAUGUGAUCUUGCUGUCUGUUUUUGCGCAGUGGGGAAGAUCUUCGUGGGCUAUACUCAGCCUUGUCUCAAUGGGAUCUAUCCACUGCCUUCGACGCAUGAACCAUCAAAUCCUCCUCUCUACCCUAUCAGGGCUGGGCGUGUCAAGCGCUGCACACUCUUGGAUUGCAUCCUACCUGGCAGGCCGCUCCUACCAGGUGGCGACGUGCAUCUCUACAGGCCUGCCUGAUAUCUCAGCUUGGAUGUCGGCCCACCACCUCUAGCUCAAUCUCGACAAGACUGAGCUACCCUUCCUCCCGGGGAAGGCCUGCCUACUCAAAGACCUCUCCAUCUUCACCGUGUCGCCCUCCCAGAGUGUGAAGAACCUUGGUGUGACUCUGGACAACACCCUGUUGUUCUCUGCAAACAUCAAAGCAGUGACUCCUGCAGGUUUAUGCUCUAGAGUACAACACUACCUCCCACAGAAAGUAGAGCAGGUCCUAAUCCAGGCAUUUCUCAUUUCCGUCUGGACAAUUGCAACUUGCUGUUGGCUGAGCUCCCCACUUCUGUCUUCAAACCCCUGCGACCUAUCCACAAGACUGCAUCUUGUCUGGUUUCAGGCAUUUGCAGUAGCUUUUGAAAGUUCCUCAGGUGCUCCUUUUCGUUCUGGCCUGUGAUUAACAGAUCAUCCAAGUAAGCAACUAGAUUAAGACCUUUCAUCAGAUUUUCCUCAGGUUUGAUUAGGAUAGUUGCUUUAAUGUCUAUCUCGUUCUUGAAAACUUCAGCAUGCAUCACCAACACUUCCUGAAUAGAUUUAGCAUUUUCAAGCAUUUAUUUAAGUUGUACUCACAUGCUUAAUUUGUUUCCAGUUCAGCUUUUGUAACCAGUUCCUUCCACAUAAAGCUGGUCCAGAACAUUUAACAACUAUGAGUGGUAGAUCCUCACUUUGAUCCUCAUAGCUCAGUUUUACAGUAAACUGUCCCAUUACAGCAAUGUUCUGUCCUGUAUAAGUCUUUAGGUUGAUGGCUGCAUCCUCUAGUGGCAGAUGUGGAAAUACACUCAUACAGUUCAUGUGAAAUUAUGCUGACUGUAGUGAUGCACGGGUUGACCUAUGUGGUUAUGACAAUGACGGGCGGGUAGGUGGUGGGCGGAUUGA